UGGGGAAUUUUGGACAAUGGGCGAAAGCCUGAUCCAGCAAUGCCGCGUGUGUGAAGAAGGCCUUCGGGUUGUAAAGCACUUUUGUCCGGAAAGAAAUCCUUGGCUCUAAUACAGUCGGGGGAUGACGGUACCGGAAGAAUAAGCACCGGCUAACUACGUGCCAGCAGCCGCGGUAAUACGUAGGGUGCAAGCGUUAAUCGGAAUUACUGGGCGUAAAGCGUGCGCAGGCGGUUUGCUAAGACCGAUGUGAAAUCCCCGGGCUCAACCUGGGAACUGCAUUGGUGACUGGCAGGCUAGAGUAUGGCAGAGGGGGGUAGAAUUCUACGUGUAGCAGUGAAAUGCGUAGAGAUGUGGAGGAAUACCGAUGGCGAAGGCAGCCCCCUGGGCCAAUACUGACGCUCAUGCACGAAAGCGUGGGGAGCAAACAGGAUUAGAUACCCUGGUAGUCCACGCCCUAAACGAUGUCAACUAGUUGUUGGGGAUUCAUUUCCUUAGUAACGUAGCUAACGCGUGAAGUUGACCGCCUGGGGAGUACGGUCGCAAGAUUAAAACUCAAAUGAAUUGACGGGG
rnacentral:rRNA from 1 species